rnacentral:rRNA from 1 species
UUGAACGCUGGCGGCAGGCCUAACACAUGCAAGUCGAACGGUAACAGGAAACAGCUUGCUGUUUCGCUGACGAGUGGCGGACGGGUGAGUAAUGUCUGGGAAACUGCCUGAUGGAGGGGGAUAACUACUGGAAACGGUAGCUAAUACCGCAUAACGUCGCAAGACCAAAGAGGGGGACCUUCGGGCCUCUUGCCAUCAGAUGUGCCCAGAUGGGAUUAGCUAGUAGGUGGGGUAACGGCUCACCUAGGCGACGAUCCCUAGCUGGUCUGAGAGGAUGACCAGCCACACUGGAACUGAGACACGGUCCAGACUCCUACGGGAGGCAGCAGUGGGGAAUAUUGCACAAUGGGCGUAAGCCUGAUGCAGCCAUGCCGCGUGUAUGAAGAAGGCCUUCGGGUUGUAAAGUACUUUCAGCGGGGAGGAAGGGAGUAAA